CCUCAGUGUUUUUGUCAGUUUCUUUGAGAUCUACUGUGGACAGCUGUACGACCUACUGGACCACAGAAAGAGGCUGUUUGCACGAGAGGACGGCCAGAGGAACGUGCACAUCGCAGGAAUGUGCUACAGGAGAGUGGAGUCCGUCCAGUCACUGCUGCAGGUCAUCUCUCGGGGCACAGAGGAGCGCUCUCAGGGCUGCAGUGGAGUGAAUCCAG